GAGACAGCAGUCGCCACGGUAAUACAGAGGGUGCGAGCGUUAAUCGGAUUUACUGGGCGUAAAGCGUGCGUAGGCGGCUAAUUGAGUCGGAUGUGAAAUCCCCGAGCUUAACUUGGGAAUUGCAUUCGAUACUGGUUAGCUAGAGUGUGGGAGAGGAUGGUAGAAUUCCAGGUGUAGCGGUGAAAUGCGUAGAGAUCUGGAGGAAUACCGAUGGCGAAGGCAGCCAUCUGGCCUAACACUGACGCUGAGGUACGAAAGCAUGGGGAGCAAACAGGAUUAGAUACCCCAGUAGUCCCUGUCUCUUAUAC
rnacentral:rRNA from 1 species